rnacentral:rRNA from 1 species
GACGAACGCUGGCGGCGUGCCUAAUACAUGCAAGUCGUGCGGGCCUUGUUAAAAGCUUGCUUUUAACAAGGCUAGCGGCGGACGGGUGAGUAACACGUGGGCAACCUGCCUGUAAGACCGGGAUAACGCCGGGA